AGUUUGAUCAUGGCUCAGAACGAACGCUGGCGGCAAGGCUUAACACAUGCAAGUCGAACGCGUGUAGCAAUACAGAGUGGCGCACGGGUGCGUAACGCGUGGGAAUAUGCCCUUCACUGCGGAAUAACGUUUGGAAACGAACGCUAAUACCGCAUAAUGACUCCGGUCCAAAGAUUUAUCGGUGAAGGAUUAGCCCGCGUUAGAUUAGCUAGUUGGUGAGGUAACGGCUCACCAAGGCUACGAUCUAUAGCUGGUCUGAGAGGAUGAUCAGCCACACUGGGACUGAGACACGGCCCAGACUCCUACGGGAGGCAGCAGUGAGGAAUAUUGGACAAUGGGGGCAACCCUGAUCCAGCCAUGCCGCGUGAGUGAAGAAGGCCUUCGGGUUGUAAAGCUCUUUCAGUUGUAAAGAUAAUGACGGUAACAACAGAAGAAGCCCCGGCUAAAUUCGUG
rnacentral:rRNA from 1 species